CCAUUAUUCUGCUGACUGCAGUACUGUAGAGCAUAAAGUUUCUUAUCCACACUGUUUCUUAGUUCAGUCUGUCAAUAUCACUACUCCACGAUUAUUGUUGUUUGUUUUUCUUUCUCCCUGUCUUUUACCUCAAAAAUCUCUAUUGUGAUGCCAGAGAGACCUUUCUGAAACCUCUCCUUUUUUCUGUGUUUAAAACCCCCCAGUGCCGCCCAUGAAAUACACAGCAAAGUCCAAACUCCUUAUCUUGCUUGGAUCCUCCUUUCCACCCUUUUUAACUGUUCAGCCAUAUUUCUCCAUGUACUUCUGAGAUUGGAACCCAGGGCAACAAAGCUAAUGUGGGUUCUCCAAGAUUAACACAACUGAAAGGAGGCCCCUUUAUGCCAUCUAUUCUAGGUCCCUUGGAAUAUAAUUAAAAACAGGAAUUUCAACAUUGAAAUGUAAUGAUGUUCAGGUAAGGGCAGUAAGGUACAUUGACUUGAGUCAAUCUCCCACCAUGUCUGGGGACUGGGACAGCUGAGCCAGGGGUCCUACCUAAGGGUCAGGCCUGUGUCUUCACUUCUCCUUUCAACCCUUUACUUCUUCCAGAGUUGAACGGCUUACUUUCCUUCUCUCACUAGGCCAUUUCAUGGCUUGUGUUUGCCUGAAAUACAACUCUUUCCCUCCCUGGUCUACACCUGCUCACCCUGAAAGAAAUACCUCUGAGCCCACUUUCUUUCUUGGAAGCAUUUUAUGACUCUUAUUUCUGUUAUCAACACAGCUUUUAUUUAUGUCUCCAUGUAUCCUUUGAAGAAACACAACUUUUCAGGUUCUAUGUUUUAUUUGCAUUCUUAGUGUCUGGCACAUUGUCUGACACAGUGUAAAAGCUGAGUAGAAUUUUGCCUGAUAGCAGAUGUGCCUGAAGUGAGGGUGUCCAAAAUUUCAUUAAAUGACGACUGCUUUAAUAUGAAUUCUUGGCUAAGGCAGGAGAAUCGCUUGAACCCAGGAGGCAGAGGUUGCAGUGAGCCGAGAUCACACCACUGCACUCCAGCCUGUAAUGUCUUACAAUAACAGAAUGCAGGAGAGCACAUAUCAAUGAAGAAAAGACAAAAUGUACUUAUCCAUGAAGCUGAGGUUAAGAAACCAGUGUCUUCAAGAGCCAGGGACAGCACUGGGUCUGUGCAGAGUUGAGAGAUGGUGAUGACAUGUGGUUUCCAGCAUUCCUCACCCAGUCCAGGGACACUGUGGGUGUGCCCAGCUUAAGUCCAGUAACUGGAAAUACAAGCCCAAGUUCUGGAGAGUUUGAGCUGCAGAGAUAUAUAUGGGAACACUUUGAAUCUUGACUCAUUGGCCAUAACCAGCAGAGUGGAAAAUACAAGAAGAGAAAAAAACAUUGAACUGCGAUUUUAUAACAUCCUUUACUAGGCAGAGAGAAGAGGAAACACCAGGAAAGAAAACUGUAUUACGAUGUGAAAACUUAAUGUUGAGAAAUUCAGGCAUCUUGGGGUUAGU
rnacentral:lncRNA from 1 species